GACGAACGCUGGCGGCGUGCUUAACACAUGCAAGUCGAACGGAAAGGCCCUUCGGGGUACUCGAGUGGCGAACGGGUGAGUAACACGUGGGUGAUCUGCCCUGCACUUCGGGAUAAGCCUGGGAAACUGGGUCUAAUACCGGAUAUGACCUCAGGAUGCAUGUUCUGGGGUGGAAAGCUUUUGCGGUGUGGGAUGGGCCCGCGGCCUAUCAGCUUGUUGGUGGGGUCACGGCCUACCAAGGCGACGACGGGUAGCCGGCCUGAGAGGGUGACCGGCCACACUGGGACUGAGAUACGGCCCAGACUCCUACGGGAGGCAGCAGUGGGGAAUAUUGCACAAUGGGCGCAAGCCUGAUGCAGCGACGCCGCGUGAGGGACGACGGCCUUCGGGUUGUAAACCUCUUUCAGCACAGACGAAGCGCGAGUGACGGUAUGUGCAGAAGAAGGACCGGCCAACUACGUGCCAGCCGCCGCCGUAACAC
rnacentral:rRNA from 1 species